rnacentral:tRNA from 1 species
GCCUGCGUAGCUCAGUUGAUAGAGCAUUUGAUUCGUAAUCAAAAGGUCGUCGGUUUGACCCCGGCCGCAGGCU